rnacentral:rRNA from 1 species
AUUACCUUAGUAACGGCGAGUGAAGCGGUAAAAGCUCAAAUUUGAAAUCUGGUACUUUCAGUGCCCGAGUUGUAAUUUGUAGAAUUUGUCUUUGAUUAGGUCCUUGUCUAUGUUCCUUGGAACAGGACGUCAUAGAGGGUGAGAAUCCCGUUUGGCGAGGAUACCUUUUCUCUGUAAGACUUUUUCGAAGAGUCGAGUUGUUUGGGAAUGCAGCUCAAAGUGGGUGGUAAAUUCCAUCUAAAGCUAAAUAUUGGCGAGAGACCGAUAGCGAACAAGUACAGUGAUGGAAAGAUGAAAAGAACUUUGAAAAGAGAGUGAAAAAGUACGUGAAAUUGUUGAAAGGGAAGGGCAUUUGAUCAGACAUGGUGUUUUUUGCAUGCACUCGCCUCUCGUGGGCUUGGGCCUCUCAAAAAUUUCACUGGGCCAACAUCAAUUCUGGCAGCAGGAUAAAUCAUUAAGAAUGUAGCUACUUCGGUAGUGUUAUAGCUUUUUGGAAUACUGUUAGCUGGGAUUGAGGACUGCGCUUCGGCAAGGAUGUUGGCAUAAUGGUUAAAUGCCGCCCGUCUUGAAACAC